UUUAUUCCCUCCUGGUUGCGCCACGUCAGCUGCCACCUAGAUAAUUCGCUUCCUCUCACGGUGACACGUGGCGGCAUCCAUGUGAAACUCGGCGUUUCAUUUACGAUGGAAACGUACCGGGCUUACUUCGUGUUUCAUGAUGGGCUCUAGAAAUGUUAUUCACUGCAGCCCGAAAGAUUCUACUCGCCUCUAACCCUAAUUUUGAUCGAUCACGUGAAAGCAUUUCGUUCAUCCUUUUCUGCAGUGGAUCUUCUUCUCUGACUUGAAGUCCAGCAAAUGCUCUUAUGUCGUCGAGCCAAGGCUACUGCGGUUCUGGGAUGCGAGGAACGUCAAAUGCGGUGGUGAGCUGAUGUGGAUCGAUACGGUGCUUAUGGACGUGAAUAUUUAGUCUCUCUGUCCGGCCAGGUUACAUGGGGCUCUCCCUCUAACCCUAACUCCGCUCGAUCGAAGAAUUUGAGAUCGUCUCCCCUCUUUGUGCGGCCGCCGUGACGUCCGAGCUUCGAUAUCUGAAACGGCCUGAGUUAUGAACUUCGCUAUCUAAUUGUCCGAGUUAUGGCUUUUGUGUGUUCAAUCAUCAUAAGCUCUCUCUUUCUCUCUCGAUAGUUUAAUUUUCUCUCUUUAUCAAUCUGCUAUUUUUCAUGGAUCGAUUUUGUUUGUUAUGCAUUUCUAAACUCUUUUGAUGUAUUUUCCCAAUGUUUCUACCAAGCUUUGACUUAAAUCUUCAGGGCUCUCAUUCCUUCAGUGGCUCGAUUCCAUUUUUCUUGGGGUGACGCUGACUAUCACCAUGAGACACUUGAUAAUCUAAAAAAAUGCUGCUUCUAGGAAUGGCAAAUUUUCAAAUUCACUUUUCUGAUUUGAAGGCUGGCCACUGUAGGCAAUUUGUGGUGAUCCGUCUUCUUCGAUAAUGGAUGGCUCACAAUGUAAUAAAGGAGGGAUUUUAUAAUUGUAACAUGGUCUUGCUCGACGAGAAGGAUCCAUCACCACACAUAAGCUUAACACUUUCAAGAUCUAUUGAGGGAAGCAUCAACCGUGACAUUGAUUUUCCGGAUGUUUUUUGUCAGGUGAUGAGUAUCAACCUUUUGUAACAAUGAAAGCCAGUCUAUUCAGCUUCUGAUGUUAACAAUCCCAAUGGACGGGGAAACUACGGUUUAUGUCAGCAUUUUUUAUUUGAUAGCUAAUCUACUUCAUGAAAGGUCGCUUACUUCUGAAAGAAAUUUCAGAUUAUGCUUUCAUUUAAAUACUACAUUAAAACACAUGUUAUGUAGAGCUCAGGAAGGCCUCUCUUCAGCUUCUGUCAAGUAUGGCAGGAUUAAGAAACUUGAAUCUGUCGCUCUCACUGAGUCGAAAAAUACCAACGCCCACCACUUGCUAAUUUCGCACACCAGAGUGGUGAGGACCAUCCAAAUGAUGAUAUGACAGGGGCUGUUAAUCUCUCCAUGGACUCAAACCCAAUUGUAAACAACAUUGGUCCAGAUUACCAACCAGUGUGAUACUGCUGCAACAAUCGAAGGAUGUUCAUAAGUUUCUGAACCAAUUUCUCUGCAAAUUGAUCCACUGGUCAACACGAAGAGGAAACAACUGAUGGUGGCAAGGGUCCAAAUCUUAAGAAGCCCCCAAAUGCAUGAUCACUCCAACGAUGGAGACAAUGAAGCUGGAAAAAAAAUUUCCCAAUUCCAUUUCCGUUUCCUCAGUUUUUAUACUUCACUCAGUAAUGUUGUCUUUUUUAGUUAUCCAGUUCUGGUUUUCUUAAGUUUAAGUAUAAUUGGUACACCUGGUGAUUUUAGUAUUUAUUUUGUGGUUCUGAAUUUUUUUACUAACCAGAAUUUUGGUUUCA